CGCGGGAUGGAGCAGUAGGUAGCUCGUCGGGCUCAUAACCCGAAGGUCGUCGGGUCAAAUCCGGCCCCCGCAACCA
rnacentral:tRNA from 1 species